rnacentral:rRNA from 1 species
GACGAACGCUGGCGGCGUGCCUAAUACAUGCAAGUAGAACGCUGAAGGAGGAGCUUGCUUCUCUGGAUGAGUUGCGAACGGGUGAGUAACGCGUAGGUAACCUGCCUGGUAGCGGGGGAUAACUAUUGGAAACGAUAGCUAAUACCGCAUAAUAGUAGAUGUUGCAUGACAUUUGCUUAAAAGGUGCAAUUGCAUCACUACCAGAUGGACCUGCGUUGUAUUAGCUAGUUGGUGGGGUAACGGCUCACCAAGGCGACGAUACAUAGCCGACCUGAGAGGGUGAUCGGCCACACUGGGACUGAGACACGGCCCAGACUCCUACGGGAGGCAGCAGUAGGGAAUCUUCGGCAAUGGACGGAAGUCUGACCGAGCAACGCCGCGUGAGUGAAGUAGGUUUUCGGAUCGUAAAGCUCUGUUGUAAGAGAAGAACGAGUGUGAGAGUGGAAAGUUCACACUGUGACGGUAUCUUACCAGAAAGGGACGGCUAACUACGUG